rnacentral:rRNA from 1 species
GACGAACGCUGGCGGCGUGCCUAAUACAUGCAAGUAGAACGCUGAAGGAGGAGCUUGCUUCUCCGGAUGAGUUGCGAACGGGUGAGUAACGCGUAGGUAACCUGCCUGGCAGCGGGGGAUAACUAUUGGAAACGAUAGCUAAUACCGCAUAAGAGUAGAUGUCGCAUGACAUUUGCUUAAAAGGUGCAAUUGCAUCACUACCAGAUGGACCUGCGUUGUAUUAGCUAGUUGGUGAGGUAACGGCUCACCAAGGCAACGAUACAUAGCCGACCUGAGAGGGUGAUCGGCCACACUGGGACUGAGACACGGCCCAGACUCCUACGGGAGGCAGCAGUAGGGAAUCUUCGGCAAUGGACGGAAGUCUGACCGAGCAACGCCGCGUGAGUGAAGAAGGUUUUCGGAUCGUAAAGCUCUGUUGUAAGAGAAGAACGAGUGUGAGAGUGGAAA